ensembl:lncRNA
GGUAAACACAAAAUUAAAAACAUUUAUAGCUUUCUGGGUUUUUUAAAAUCAUUAUUAUUAUAUUAUGAAGAUUCAAAGUUUAAAAAGACAGAGUGCUAAUGUAGCGUAGCUAAACAGCCCAACGCCGUCUGCUGAGAGUGGACCUCUUAUGUUGCCAAGGUGCUGACGGUAAAAAUACCCAGAGGAACCUUACAAGCCAAUGGGUGCCAUCAUGGUGGCUACGUCAUCGUUUACACUGCCAAAGCUGUGAGUUUGCACAGUCCCAGCAGCACACCUUCAUCGCAGCGUCCACCGAUGGAGACACGGUUGGAGAGGCGGCUGGAGCGUGCCCUGUUUCACACAGAGAGAAGUGGCUCCUCAGAGGCGCAGCUGCUGAGCAGACCACGGAGAAUAAUGUGCACACAAAAAACAGGAUAAAACCUUUGGUGAGGAUUUGAGCUUCACUUGAGAAAACAUCACGACAAAUGCAAAAGAAAUCAGUUUAAAGUUGAGAAAAAGAAUUGUCGAUGUUCAUAAAGCAGGAAAUGGAUAUUCAAAGUUAUCACUGCGUUUCCAAGUGUCAAGAACUGGAGUGAGAAGUACCAUCAAGAAAUUCAGAGCCAAACAGUACAGAACAAGCCUGGCAGAGGUAGGAAGUGAAAGAUUGAAACGCCUCUGUAAAGAAAACUGGUGAGAGAUGUGUCUGAAGACCCCAGAACAACUGCCAAGACACAAGUGCAUGACUUAGCCAAGACGAACCAAGAAAAGACAAUUACUAGGACCCACUUCUGGAGAAGAGGCACCUUCAAGCCAGACUGAAGUAUGCUUCAGUCUGGCUCAAAGUUGCACAACCUGGAGAAUGAGUAUGCAUACUCAUGUGCUUUGAACAGAUGAGAUAAGACCGGAGCUUUUUGGCUACAGAGAUGCUGCUUAUGUUUGAGUAAAGAACGGAGAGGCGUACAACCCACAGUGAAACACGGAGGUGGGAGUUUUAUGCCGUGGGGAUUCUUCAGUGUGUCUGGAUUUGGGAUUUUCGUCAAGGUGGAAGGAAUAAAGAAGAAGGGAAGAUGUGUGAAAGAAAACCUCAAGCCAUACUAAAUGAUAAACUUGGUCUGGGUCUUUGCUUUGUCUUCCAAAACGACAAUGACACGAAACAUACGUCCCUCCUGGUGAAGAACCACCUCCACAACACCAAAGUGAGCAAUACUGACAGGCUUGCACAAAGCUCAAGCUAAAGUCCAACAUAUUUGGAGAAGACUCAAAGAAGAGAUAUUCCAAGAAGAAUGAAGUCAGGAGACGUGUGUGAAAACUUGUUGAAAACUGUGAUAAAGUACUGCAGCCUGAAUAUAAGCAUCAGGAGGCCGAACAAUUGUGUUCUCAUCUGUAUUGUUGUGUUAAGCUAAAAAAAAAAGCCCAUUAAAAGCAAGUUAAUAUCUGAGAGCUGAGGGAUGCAUAAAGGUUUGUAAAUGCAUCAUCAGAAGAAGCUGAAAAAUGGUUUAUUGGUUUGAGUAAUUAUGAUGUGCAGCAGUUUAUGAUUUCAGAGAUCACUAAAGUCCCUGUUAGUCAGAGGUUGGACGUACAGUGCGUGGGGGGCUCAGGGCAGCGGUAGAGGAUUUUUCUAACCAAUAACAACAACGUGCAACAGCGAGUCAUAAGCAACAACCACAAUUCAUUGCGCCUCACCUACAGUGAGUUAUUACAGCUGAUUCAAUAAAGCUGGAGGAUUCACGGGAGAGAGAAUUAGUCAGAAUUAGUGUGGUGUAACAUCAUACAUUUCCCCCUAAUGCACGUUGAUAGCAUCUUUAAUUAGAGUCCCUUGCCUCCUGAACUUGUUUCAAACGCAUCCAGUAUUAAAUGCAGGCUUUCUAUUAAAAUGUAAAACGCUCGAGUGAAACGGCACCACGAGCACAUUAUUAUGGCUCUAUUUUUCAAACUUUGGAAAGCUUCUCCAGAGCUACAGACGAUAUCGCACGGCUGUUUUUAACAGGCCAACACUCCCUGCGAGGGGUAAAGUGAACAUCUUGCAUGAACUCAGAUUGGGAAUUCUGCACAAUCACUCAACGCUACAUGUUUCAUAGCAAACAUUACCAGGUUGACCCAAAAGCAUUAUUUAUAGACUGGUACAUAAGACUAGGAGGGAAGUUCCAGGGAAGGGAGGAAAGCUUUCCUCUUCAUGAGAAUCUCUGGGUACUGGUUUUACUGGUUUUCUUUUUCACUUCUCUCGAAGAACAGCUCACAUCUGCUUACAUGACGAGAAGCACUUUGUAGUUGUGUAAGUGUUUCAUAAAUAAGGCCGCCGCCGAUCGUGAGGCAGAAAACAACAGCGUUGUCCGGCGCUCUGAAAAACAGCAACAACGCGAAUGCUGCACGUCAGCCCAACAACAACAAUAACAGGCAUAUUAUAAAUAAUGCGUCCGCUUUCAAGCUG